rnacentral:ncRNA from 2 species
CCUUCGCGACUUGUUUCAGGUGCUCUGUGGCCCGUGGCCGACAGAGUGAAACAGGGAAGCCGGUCAGGGUCUGUUCCAGUGAUGGAGCCGACGACGAUUCCGGCGCUGCCCCCGCAACGGUAGAUGAGUCAAGACUGCGCCUGACGCCACUGUGUCAAUGACACGGGAAGGCGCGCAGUCCGGCAGCCAUGCCGCUCAUGAGCCCGGAGACCGGCCUGAUCCAUCCAACGGCA